rnacentral:tRNA from 1 species
AAAAAUUUAGUUAAAUAAUAACAUUAGUUUGUCAAACUAAAGUUACUUAAAAAGUAAUUUUUU